CAAUAGCGUAUAUUAAAGUUGCUGCAGUUAAAAAGCUCGUAGUUGGAUUUCUGGUUGAAGCGACCGGUCGGGCGUUGAUUCGUCUGCACUGGAGUCGGUUUUGGCCAUCCUCUAGGAAAGUGCGUCUGGUAUUAAGUUAUCGGGCGUAUGAUCCUGGUCUUUUACUGUGAAAAAAUUAGAGUGUUUAAAGCAGGCCUUCGCCUUGAAUACAUUAGCAUGGAAUAAUAAGAUAGGACUUUGGUCUAUUUUGUUGGUUUGCAGACCGAAGUAAUGAUUAAUAGGGAUAGUUGGGGGUAUUUAUAUUCCGAUGUCAGAGGUGAAAUUCUUAGAUUUUCGGAAGAUAAACUUAUGCGAAAGCAUUUACCAAGGAUGUUUNCAUUA
rnacentral:rRNA from 1 species